CGGCCCCAAAUUUUUUGGAUGAAGAUUUAGUUGAGUUGAGUUGUACCAUAUAUAUUUACAUGGAAAAUUAUAAUUAAGUCAUAAAGUACAAAAAAACUCACCCCUAAAGUUAUAAAAAAAAUAAAAAAAUAAAAACAAUGCAAAUGGAAGUCAUAACAUCCAUAGUAACUGAAGUCAGUACUAAAGCACAAUAAAUGAGAAACUAUAAAAUCAUCUGUUCAGGCGAAGGUCCUCCAGUGUGCCCUCAAUUGAUGCGAGUCUCUCAUCGACAUCAUCCUCCAGCCGGCCCAGUCUGGAAUCCAUUUGCUCAAUAGUAGUUCGCAGCAGGCGAAAACUGAAGUGGAGACGCUCCUCUAUCUGAUCAAAUCUAUCAUCUAUCCUAGCCAUCAGCAUCUCUAGUGUGAUUGCUCCCUGUUGGGCAGAUGCAACUGGAUGAUCGACGGCUGUUGGUGCUGGAGAUGCCUCAAGUCUGACCUCCUGCUCUGCAUCUUGAGUCCGGUCCUCUACACGUGCCUUAUCAGCCCCACCAUCUGAUCUGUCAACCCCUCUCAUGGGAAUUUUAAUCCCAUUCUCAUCUACUAGACAAUACACACCUCCUUCCCUCACGCACAUUUUCAUCAUAUGUAGUAGUUCUAAAUCUAUUCUGUCGUCCCCAAUUAAAUGCAUUAACCUAUGUGCCUUACCAACAAAUCCAAAAUGCACAGAAAUAGCUGUAAUGAGUCCCCCAACUACUAUUUUCCCAUUCCCUCUGGCUACAUGACUAAACUGGUUGCUAAGCCAGUACCCUGUGUUCACUCGUUGCCCAGUCUCCAUAGCCCAUAAAAAAAAUAACUCAUUUCUAGAGACUACUCCCGUGCUCUCCCCUCUACCAAAAAUAGAAUGGGACAUAAAACGGUGCAGGUAUCUAAAUGCUGGGUUAGUCAGUUUAGUGGAUUUGGAAGCACUAGCGUUAUAGUUAGCAGUGUUGGUCAGCAUGCUCCAAGCAAAUUCCAUAUCAAAAUCCUUUGGAAUAUGUCUAACUCCAUCGUUAGCAAAUCCAAAAAUACCAUUAAAUUCACUCAUAUUUAAUUGGUAGUCCACACCCACGAGUCUGAAUUUAAUAAUCCCGACAUCCUGGACAUUAUUUGGCUGCAAAACACAAGAAAAACUGCUCAAAAAUUCUAGUGUAAGCUCAGGAUAUGUGUGGUGUUUAAGGGAAACAAAUUGUGUCCAACCUAUGCGCUCCACAAAUCUCCCGACUUCCUCACUCAACCCAAGUUGUUCUAGUGUGUAUGUGUCUAUAUAUUUGGUGCACACUACUGGCCUACGAGCUAAUGAAAUAUAUUUUUCUUUAUGUUCUAGGCUUUGGAAUCCCCAAGGGAGUGUAGGUUGUGGUUGGGGUGGGUUUUCAGGCGCAGAUGGAGGUGCUGCACAUCGAGGACGCUGUGUUGGAUGUGGUCGUGCUUGAGAUGAGCAAGAUGAUGAUGCCUCAUGAUCAUGCGCACGACGUUUAGGCGGCAUGGUGACUAUAACAAGCCAAGUUAGCAUAAUUCACAAUCAACACAUAUUGUUAAUGCAGCAAUCUAGGUGGAUGAGGAAUAGAAAAAGGUUAUGACAAGUAAAUUUGAAAAUCAAAAGCUCAAUUUGUGCUGAUGAAUUUUUCCUUGCCACAAAUAAUGCAUAAGAUUACAAUUUACACAACUACAAUAUUAUUAGUGAGUGCAAAUAUCCUUGGGUGACAUUUCAAAAUUACAACUCAUAACAAAGUAAAUUUCAAAAACAAAUCCCAAUUAUUUUCCAGUCAAAUUCUAUGGGUGAGAGUUAAUCAAGGACGGCACUUUACUUGGUGUAUCAUAAGCAAUUACUUUGGAAAGGCAUCAUGACCCAAAAGGAAAUUCAAACUUUCAUAGGUAUUUCUACAACUACACCAGAUGCAAAAUUCCAGCCAUUUGAUACCCAACUCGAUAUCUAGUGGAAAGUGAAAAACAAAUGCAUAUCAAAAUUUCAACUAUUUCUCUAUCAAAUUUUUUCUUUCACACAAUUUCAUGCCCAACUAAAAAGACAAAGUACGAAAUUUUAGCUAAAUUUAUGAUGCCCAGUUGAAUUAAUACGCAAUGGAGUUAAUGCCUACCAGUUCACAAUCAAAACAAGUUAAGAAUAAAACCAAAACCAAAGAAUUUCACCCUGGGUCUUUGAGUUUUCGGAAAGGUUUGGAAAAAUUGACAAUACACUAAGCAUUAAUCGAUGGAAUAUGGAAUUAGAGUCAACAAACCCAAGGAUUUUAUGCACAAGCAAAAGCAAUAUUCUUCACAGCAUGCAAAAACCAAUAACUAAUCUGUAAGCAAACCUAUUGAAGUGGUUGAAAUUUACCUUGUGGAGUGAAAUUUUGACAAAUCUCUUAGAUUGCUAAAAGCACCUAGAAAGGAUUUUAACUCUGCGAAUGGCUGGCGAGAGGAGUGAUGAUAGAAGUCACUCCGACGAAGGAUGUCGCUGUUAGUGUUUCUAUGGAAAGAAAUUGAAGGAAUUUUGUAUGAAUUCAAACGUGUGGGGAAGUGUACCAUUUUUCUAUUUGGCAUUUGGAGGCUCAGUGGGGAACCGAAGAACUGGAAAACCUUUUCGGAUUUAAACACGGGCCAGUCUUCUACACGAAACACGGUGAGCACGUGUUUUGGCUCAGCUCAACAUGGGCCUUACGUGUUUCACACGGGAUUGAAGUUGGAGACGACAG
rnacentral:misc_RNA from 1 species